ACGCGUGCUCCGGGGUCGGUGAAAUUCCGAACCGGCGGUGACAGUCCGCGAACCGCUUGUUCGCCUCGGCGAACGGGCGGCCGAUCCGGUGGAAUUCCGGGACCGACGGUUAAAGUCCGGAUGGGAGGCUGCACGCGA
rfam:Catenulispora sp. 13_1_20CM_3_70_7 13_1_20cm_3_scaffold_7712, whole genome shotgun sequence.